UCACUCCUUUUGGAGUCUUCUCAGUGAGCCCAGGACAAGGCUUACCUUCAGUUUAUUUAGCCUGGACUUCUGCUAAAAGAAGAAAGAAGAUGUUUGGUAGAUGAGGAGCGAAGUCUCAGGUUGAUGUUCUCUCAUUGUGGCCAGAGAGUAACGAGAUGGAACAGAUCAAAACGGACAGCAACUCAUGCCAGCAUGGAUCAGGAAGGGAACGUUCUGCAGCAAGAAGCCACAAAGUAUGUAAAACAGUGUGCUUCGGAUUAGACUUCUCCAAAUGCCCUUCAUCACAGCAGUGCUGAGUGCUCUAGCUGGCAGCUCUCCUUGAGCUGCCUUUGGAAUGCAAGUGCUGGACAGAAUUCUUGCAAUUGGGACAGUUGCGUACAUCAGUGACUGGUCAAUGGCAAAACCUAAAGCUACCUCUGAACUACAGUGAACCUUAAUGAGGUGUCAUAAAACAGAGAGCAAAAGUUAUCUUUAGAAUAGAGGUCUCUACCUAAUUUCCAUUCGUAAAUCUUUUUGGACAGGGCAAGUAAUUAGAACAAUCAUUUGUUAGUUUUUCUCAGCAUGUUCUUUUUUUUUCCCCCAAUCAAUUUGUAUUUUUUAUCAGUGCAAGUGAAAGCCAGAACACUUCUGAAUAGCUUUGUUUUGAACCGUUUUCCAGUUUUUCUUUUGAAAUUUGUCGUUUAAAUUAUUCCAUUCCAACAAACACACAGGUAAAUGAGACGUAACGUAACUGUACAAGAAAUUGUGACAAAGGAGAAAAAUACCUGAUGCAGGCAGCGUGGGUUGUAGUAAUAAGGUAUUUGGUUAUACAUUAUUAUAACUGCUUGUUUUUUUGUUUUUUUUUAAAAAAAAAAA